rnacentral:lncRNA from 1 species
UGUUUUUUUGUGUGAUUUUUUUAUAUUUUUUGCUACAUUUUAUAAUGUUGUUUUGCUGUUGUUUUUAAUAUUAUUUGGUUAUUGUAGAACUUAUGUUUUAUUAUUAAUUUUGCUACUGUUUUAGUUGCAACUAUCUUAAUAUAAAGAAUUUUUAAUAUAUUUUCAAAUUGUUGUUGUUUUAACAUUUGUUUUAAUAUUUUUAAGUGUAUUUGAUAUUAUAUAUAUAUAUAUAUAUUAAAUUUGUU